GACGAACGCUGGCGGCGUGCUUAACACAUGCAAGUCGAACGGUGAAGCGCCUUCCUUUUUGGUGGGUGUGGAUGAGCGGCGAACGGGUGAGUAACACGUGAGUAACCUGCCCCCUUCUUCUGGAUAACCGCAUGAAAGUGUGGCUAAUACGGGAUAUUCUGGGUCUGUCGCAUGAUGGGUCUGGGAAAGAUAUUGUUUCGGUGGGGGAUGGGCUCGCGGCCUAUCAGCUUGUUGGUGGGGUGAUGGCCUACCAAGGCGGUGACGGGUAGCCGGCCUGAGAGGGUGGACGGUCACACUGGGACUGAGACACGGCCCAGACUCCUACGGGAGGCAGCAGUGGGGAAUAUUGCACAAUGGGCGCAAGCCUGAUGCAGCGACGCCGCGUGAGGGAUGGAGGCCUUCAGGUUGUGAACCUCUUUCGCCAGUGAAGCAGGCCUGCCUCGUUUGUGGGUGGGUUGACGGUAGCUGGAUAAGAAGCGCCGGCUAACUACGUG
rnacentral:rRNA from 1 species